GAAACAAUGGAAACAACGGAAACAACGGAAACAACGGAAACAACGGAAACAACCUCCACAGAGACAGAAACAUAAGGCAGAAAAUUAGGUGACAGGUCAAGAACAACAACGGACACAAAGGAAACAACGGAAACAACCUCCACAGAGACAGAAAUAUAAGGCAGAAAAUUAGGUGACAGGUCAAGAACAACAACGGAAACAACGGAAACAACGGAAACAACGGAAACAACGGAAACAACACAACCUCCACAGAGACAGAAACAUAAGGCAGAAAAUUAGGUGACAGGUCAAGAAGAACAACGGAAACAACAGAAACAACGGAAACAACGGAAACAACGGAAAGAACCUCCACAGAGACAGAAAC
ensembl:lncRNA